rnacentral:rRNA from 1 species
UGGGGAAUAUUGCACAAUGGGCGCAAGCCUGAUGCAGCCAUGCCGCGUGUGUGAAGAAGGCCUUCGGGUUGUAAAGCACUUUCAGCGAGGAGGAAGGGUUCAGUGUUAAUAGCACUGUUCAUUGACGUUACUCGCAGAAGAAGCACCGGCUAACUCCGUGCCAGCAGCCGCGGUAAUACGGAGGGUGCAAGCGUUAAUCGGAAUUACUGGGCGUAAAGCGCACGCAGGCGGUUUGUUAAGUCAGAUGUGAAAUCCCCGCGCUUAACGUGGGAACU